rnacentral:rRNA from 1 species
UAGGGAAUCUUCGGCAAUGGGGGGAACCCUGACCGAGCAACGCCGCGUGAGUGAAGAAGGUUUUCGGAUCGUAAAGCUCUGUUGUUAAGGAAGAACGAGUGUGAGAAUGGAAAGUUCAUACUGUGACGGUACUUAACCAGAAAGGGACGGCUAACUACGUGCCAGCAGCCGCGGUAAUACGCAGGUGGCAAGCGUUAUCCGGAAUUAUUGGGCGUAAAGCGCGCGUAGGCGGUUUUUUAAGUCUGAUGUGAAAGCCCACGGCUCAACCGUGGAGGGUCAUUGGAAACUGGUUGACUUGAGUGCAGAAGAGGAGAGUGGAAUUCCAUGUGUAGCGGUGAAAUGCGUAGAUAUAUGGAGGAACACCAGUGGCGAAGGCGACUCUCUGGUCUGUAACUGACGCUGAGGCUCGAAAGCGUGGGUAGCAAACAGG